rnacentral:rRNA from 1 species
AUUAAUUAAUUUUAGGGGAAUAAAAUUUAAAUAAAAAAAUAUAUAUUUUAGUAUAGUUUAGAAAAAAUUUUUUAUAAUUAUAGAUUAUUAGUAUUGUGAAAGAAAUAAGUUAAAAUUAAAAAAGAAAAAAAUUAUUUUGUACCUUGUGUAUCAGGGUUUAUUAAAUAAAAUUUAAAUAAUAUUUUCUCGAAUUUAAAAGGGCUAAAAUAAUAUAAUUUUAUUGUAGAAUAAAUAUUUAAAAUAUUAUUUUAGAAAUGAAACGUUAUACGUUUUUAAUAUAUCUAGUUAUUUAAGAAAAAAGUUUAAUUUUAUUAUUAAAAAUAUAAUAUUAAAUUUUUAAUUUUAUAUUAUUAAUAUUUUAUUUAUAAAGGGAUAAGCUUAUAUAAAAAAAAUUAAAAAUUUAUAUAAAAGAAUGAAAUAUAGGAUUAGAAGUUUCCAUUAUUAAAAUAAUGUUAUAAUUAAUUUUUUAGUUAUAUUAUUUAUAUGAAUUUUAAAUAUUUUAUUAAAUUAUAAAUUAUAAUGAAAAAAAAUUUAGUAAUAAUGAUAAAAUUAGUAAAUAUUUUUGUAAAAUAAGAUAUUUAAUUAAGGUUAAUUAAAGGAAUUCGGCAAAAAAUUUUUCACCUGUUUAUUAAAAACAUGGCCUUUUGAUUAUGAUUUAAGGUCUCGCCUGCCCACUGAGUUAUUAAAGGGCCGCGGUAAACUGACCGUGCUAAGGUAGCAUAAUAACUAGUUUUUUAAUUGAAAGCUUGUAUGAAUGGUUGGAUGAGAAAAUAACUGUCUCUAGUUAAAUUUUAUUGAAUUUUAUUUUUAAGUAAAAAAGCUUAAAUUAUUUUAAAAGACGAGAAGACCCUAUAGAGUUUUAUAAAAUUUAAAAUUAAAAAUUUUUAGGAUUAUAAGUUUUAUAAUUUUAACUUUUAUUUAGUUGGGGCGAUUGAAAAAUUUAUUAAACUUUUUUUAUAUUAUAACAUUAAUAUAUGAAAAUUUGAUCCAUUAUUUAUGAUUAAAAGAUUAAAUUACCUUAGGGAUAACAGCGUAAUUUUUUUUGAGAGUUCAAAUCGAAAGAAAAGUUUGCGACCUCGAUGUUGGAUUAAAAUUAAUUUUUGGUGUAGAAGCUAGAAAGAUUAGGUCUGUUCGACCUUUAAAAUUUUACAUGAUCUGAGUUUAAACCGGUGUGAGCCAGGUUGGUUUCUAUCUUUAAAAUAUAUAUAUAUUUUAGUACGAAAGGAUCAAAUAUA